CCUACGGGAGGCAGCAGUGGGGAAUAUUGGACAAUGGGCGCAAGCCUGAUCCAGCCAUACCGCGUGGGUGAAGAAGGCCUUCGGGUUGUAAAGCCCUUUUGUUGGGAAAGAAAAGCAGUCGAUUAAUACUCGGUUGUUCUGACGGUACCCAAAGAAUAAGCACCGGCUAACUUCGUGCCAGCAGCCGCGGUAAUACGAAGGGUGCAAGCGUUACUCGGAAUUACUGGGCGUAAAGCGUGCGUAGGUGGUUGUUUAAGUCUGUUGUGAAAGCCCUGGGCUCAACCUGGGAAUUGCAGUGGAUACUGGGCGACUAGAGUGUGGUAGAGGGUAGUGGAAUUCCCGGUGUAGCAGUGAAAUGCGUAGAGAUCGGGAGGAACAUCCAUGGCGAAGGCAGCUACCUGGACCAACACUGACACUGAGGCACGAAAGCGUGGGGAGCAAACAGGAUUAGAUACCCUGGUAGUCCACGCCCUAAACGAUGCGAACUGGAUGUUGGGUGCAAUUUGGCACGCAGUAUCGAAGCUAACGCGUUAAGUUCGCCGCCUGGGGAGUACGGUCGCAAGACUUGAAACUCAAAGGAAUUGACGGCUUGAGACGNGCGAGCGACGACGAGGGAGGAGG
rnacentral:rRNA from 1 species